rnacentral:rRNA from 1 species
GACGAACGCUGGCGGCGUGCUUAACACAUGCAAGUCGAACGGAAAGGCCCUGCUUUUGUGGGGUGCUCGAGUGGCGAACGGGUGAGUAACACGUGAGUAACCUGCCCUUGACUUUGGGAUAACUUCAGGAAACUGGGGCUAAUACCGGAUAGGAGCUCCUGCUGCAUGGUGGGGGUUGGAAAGUUUCGGCGGUUGGGGUUGGACUCGCGGCUUAUCAGCUUGAUGGUGGGGUAGUGGCUUACCAAGGCUUUGACGGGUAGCCGGCCUGAGAGGGUGACCGGCCACAUUGGGACUGAGAUACGGCCCAGACUACUACGGGAGGCAGCAGUGGGGAAUAUUGCACAAUGGGCGGAAGCCUGAUGCAGCAACGCCGCGUGCGGGAUGACGGCCUUCGGGUUGUAAACCGCUUUCGCCUGUGACGAAGCGUGAGUGACGGUAAUGGGUAAAGAAGCACCGGCUAACUACGUG